CUCUGUAACGUAAUUUUAAAUACAAAAAUAUAAAUUUAUAUUUUUGUAAACGUUCACAGCCGUUGUGUUUUUAGUACAAUGCACGUUGAAAUAUAAAUAAAUAAAUAAAUAUUUGUAAAACUCAUGAUAUUUUCCUCACAACUGGUGGAGACACAGUUAUGUAGGUUAAAAAGAAGAACUGCCCAGCUACCUAAAACAUUAGU